CGUGCCGGCGUGCAGUAACACCUGUCGUUUUGUGUCGCUAAAGUGUCGCGUUACACGAUUAUAAAUCUAUCGGUUAUCUUUCGAUUUAUGAUGCGAGCAUACAAGUUUCGGGUCCAAUUUUAUGGAUAUCGUUAUCGAGUUUUUAUUUGUCGUGUUAAGUAGUGCUUAAACAAUCGCAUAAUUAAAUAGAAAAACAAAAACAAAACAAAAGUUCAACUACACGAAAAUAAGUACUUUAGAAAGAAAACUCAAUAUAAUUGAAAUAAAAAGUUUUGAAAAUAUUGGCUAACAUAAACUAAAACAAUUUAAUAAGAGACCAAUCAACAAAUUUUAAAAACUGCCACCGAUCUUACUUCUGUGGGCAAGUUUCUAGUGAAUAACAUAAAAAUAUUCUGCUCACAUUAAAAGCUUUUAAAAUUCUACAAACUCGUAAAAAAACCAUCAAUAAAAAUAAACCUCCACAAAAUAUUAUUCGACAACAAUUUUGGAUUAUCGGAGAGGGAUUAAAAAAUUUCCGGCAUAUAAAAGGUGUAAUAACACCCGAUCAGAGUAACAGCAACAACAACACGGAAAUCAUACAGAUUGUAAUUGUAAUUCACAGCACAAGGAAAUCGCAACGACAGCAACAAUAAGAACAACAACAUCAGCAAAGCAAGAAUUGCCCAUUCUUCAGCAGCAGUUCGCUUGUCUACCGCAUUGUUGUUGCCGCUUGUCGCUGCAUGUCAGCAGCAUUCCCCCAUUUGGCAAAGUGUUAAAGGCUCCGCAAUAUAUAGUGACUACCGAAAAAACCGAGAACACAAUCGAUGUAGUGCUAAGAAACAGGAGCACAAGGACAAAGGCCCAUAAAUACCACAAAAUAAUUAUACCAAAAACCAAGGAGCUGGAAAGAAAAAGAAAGACAAUACAAAAAGGUUUAUUAAAAACAAAAAAUAAACCAAAUUGGAGUUCAAUUACACAUUUACUGAACCUUAAAAUAAAACAACUGAGAAAAAGUCUACAUAAAAAGAAAAACAUAAUCAUUGCCGCACACAAGAGCAACAGAAACGAAGAAAACAUCUACUGAGCUGAAAACGUGAACAAAAACCAAAAUUGGACAUAAAAAACGUACAACAGUAAUUACUGGUCUACUUGCAACACAACAAAUUUAAUACUGCAAUAAC